AACUCCUGGUCUUGAGGUCGAGAGAGGUGAGUAGAAUUCCAGGUGUAGCGGUGAAAUGCGUAGAGAUCUGGAGGAAUACCGAUGGCGAAGGCAGCUUCCUGGCAUAAUAUUGACACUGAGAUUCGAAAGCGUGGGUAGCAAACAGGAUUAGAUACCCUGGUAGUCCACGCCGUAAACGAUGUCUACUAGCCGUUGGGGUCCUUGAGACUUUAGUGGCGCAGUUAACGCGAUAAGUAGACCGCCUGGGGAGUACGGCCGCAAGGUUAAAACUCAAAUGAAUUGACGGGGGCCCGCACAAGCGGUGGAGCAUGUGGUUUAAUUCGAUGCAACGCGAAGAACCUUACCUGGUCUUGACAUAGUGAGAAUCUUUCAGAGAUGAGAGAGUGCCUUCGGGAAUUCACAUACAGGUGCUGCAUGGCUGUCGUCAGCUCGUGUCGUGAGAUGUUGGGUUAAGUCCCGCAACGAGCGCAACCCUUUUCCUUAUUUGCCAGCGAGUUAAGUCGGGAACUUUAAGGAUACUGCNCAGUGACAAACUGGAGGAAGGCGGGGACGACGUCAAGUCAUCAUGGCCCUUACGACCAGGGCUACACACGUGCUAUCAAUGGUAGGUACA
rnacentral:rRNA from 1 species